UACGUAGGGGGCAAGCGUUGUCCGGAUUUAUUGGGCGUAAAGCGCGUGUAGGCGGCCAGGUAGGUCGGUUGUGAAAACUGGAGGCUCAACCUCCAGACGUCGGCCGAAACCAUCUGGCUAGAGUCCGGAAGAGGAGAGUGGAAUUCCUGGUGUAGCGGUGAAAUGCGCAGAUAUCAGGAAGAACACCGAUGGCGAAGGCAGCUCUCUGGGACGGUACUGACGCUGAGACGCGAAAGCGUGGGGAGCGAACAGG
rnacentral:rRNA from 1 species